CCUGGCGGCACUAGCGCGGUGGUCCCACCUGACCCCAUGCCGAACUCAGAAGUGAAACGCCGUAGCGCCGAUGGUAGUGUGGGGUCUCCCCAUGUGAGAGUAGGGAACUGCCAGG
rnacentral:rRNA from 2 species